GCGGGUGUAGCUCAAUGGUAGAGCGCCAUCCUUACCAGUUCGGAGGUCGCGGGUUCGAGUCCCGUCACCCGCU
rnacentral:tRNA from 1 species